rnacentral:rRNA from 1 species
AUUGAACGCUAGCGGCAUGCCUAACACAUGCAAGUCGAACGGAGUGGCGGACGGGUGAGUAAUAUAUGGGAACGUGCCUAACAGCGGGGGCUAACUACUGGAAAGCGUGGCUAAUACCGCAUACUCUCAGAUCGGCCGAUAUUGGAGUAGCUAGUGGGUGGGGUAAAGGCUCACCAGGGCCACGAUCCGUAGCAGGGCUGAGAGGGUGACCAGCCACACUGGGACUGAGACACGGCCCAGACUCCUACGGGAGGCAGCAGUGGGGAAUUUUGGACAAUGGGGGAAAGCCUGAUCCAGCCAUGCCGCGUGAGUGAUGAAGGCCUUCGGGUUGUAAAGCACUUUUGGCAGAGAAGCGGUAUCUGAAGAAGAAGCACCGGCUAACUACGUGCCAGCAGCCGCGGUAAUAC